CCAUGAAUAUCAUCAGGACCAUUCACAGCAACAGCAACAACAACAACAUUCACAUAAUGCACAUGUUUUGCCUUCCAUUAAACUAAUCUUAUAAGCAGACAGACAAGUACAACAUAUAAACGAAAAUCGUGUCUGUAACUGAGAAAAGAAAUAUU